AUGGCCGCAUUAUCAGCGAAGGUCAUACAAAAUGCAUUCUUGGCACAAGAUGGUCCACGGACUAGGCACAAUCCAAGAUAUACCUGUGACUUUUGUGCCCUCAAUACCCGCAGCAUGCAUUCCGUCCAGGGGUGUAGAUUAUCAUUGGCUGAUACUUCAGCCAAGUGGUUAAAUACCACAUCAACAGCAUGGAUUAGCUUCGGGAAACAAGGAAAUAUUAGCUGCAAUGCUACUCAAGGUGCCAGUGAUGUCUUGUCCAUUGACAAAGUUGAUUUUCUCAAGCUACAAAAUGGCAGUGAUAUUCGUGGUGUUGCUAUUGCUGGGGUUGAAGGUGAGCCUGUCAAUCUCACGGAGCUUGUUGCUGAAGCUAUAGCUACUGCAUUUGCUGCAUGGUUAUUAAACAAGAAGAAAGCGGAUGGCUUGAGACGUUUAAGAAUCUCUGUUGGACAUGAUUCACGAAUUUCUGCUCAUAAAUUGCAGAAUGCAAUUACUCAUGGAAUCACUGCUGCCGGACAUGAUGUUCUACAGUUUGGAUUGGCUUCAACACCGGCAAUGUUCAACAGUACACUUACCGAAGAUGCGAUAAAUCAUUGCCCAGCAGAUGGAGGCAUAAUGAUAACAGCGAGCCAUUUACCCUACAAUCGGAAUGGUUUCAAGUUUUUUACAAGUGAUGGUGGUCUAAAUAAGACUGAUAUUAAAGAUAUAUUGGAGCGGGCUUCUAAAGUAUACGAGGAAUCUGCACAUUGUGGCAAACAAGAACAGACCGGUGUCGUGACUCAUGUGGACUACAUGUCAAUUUAUGCUUCUGAUCUAGUGCAAGCAGUUCGUAAAUCUGCUGGAAACAAAGAGAAACCAUUGGAGGGACUGCACAUAGUUGUUGAUGCAGGGAAUGGAGCAGGUGGCUUUUUUGUGGAUAAGGUACUAAAACCAUUAGGAGCUGUUACUGAUGGGAGCCAAUUCCUGGAGCCUGAUGGUUUGUUUCCCAAUCAUAUUCCGAAUCCUGAGGACAAAGCUGCAAUGGAAGCCAUUACACAAGCAGUGCUUAAUAAUAAGGCAGACUUGGGCAUCAUAUUUGAUACUGAUGUUGACAGGUCAGCUGCUGUUGAUUCCAGUGGACGUGAGUUGAAUCGCAACCGAUUGAUUGCUUUGAUGUCUGCCAUAGUUCUUGAGGAGCAUCCAGGAACCACUGUUGUGACUGAUAGCGUGACAUCAGAUGGACUGACUGCAUUUAUUGAGAAGAAACUUGGAGGGAAACACCAUCGAUUCAAGCGAGGAUACAAGAAUGUAAUAGAUGAGGCUAUUCGUCUGAAUUCUACUGGUGAGGAAUCACAUUUGGCGAUGGAAACAAGUGGCCAUGGAGCACUGAAAGAGAAUCACUGGCUCGAUGAUGGAGCAUAUACGAUGGUUAAACUUCUGAAUAAACUUGCUGGUGCCAGAACAUUGAACCCAAACAUCGGUAGUAAAGUUUUGACUGAUUUGGUCGAGGGCCUUGAGGAGGCUGCUGUGACAGUGGAGAUAAGGUUGAAGAUUGAUCAAAAUCAUGCAGAUUUGAAAGGAGGGUCCUUCCGUGACUAUGGAGAGUCAAUCUUGAAACAUUUGGAGAGUGUGAUCAGCAAAGACCCAAAUCUAAACAAAGCCCCGAAGAAUCAUGAAGGCGUCAGAGUUUCUGGAUAUGGUGGCUGGUUUAUGUUGAGGCUAUCCCUCCAUGAUCCGGUUCUUCCCCUUAAUAUUGAGGCACAAAGCAAGAAUGACGCCAUGAAGCUCGGACUUGCAGUGCUUGCUGCUGCGAGUGAAUUUUCAGCAUUGGACACAACUGCAUUGAACAAGUUUUUGCAGCAGUGA
rnacentral:rRNA from 1 species